rnacentral:rRNA from 1 species
AUAAACGCUGGCGGCGUGCAUGAGACAUGCAAGUCGAACGAAGGAUCGGGCUUGCUCGAUCCUUAGUGGCGGACGGCUGAGUAACGCGUAGGUGACCUACCCCGAAGUGGGGAAUAACUGCCCGAAAGGGUGGCUAAUACCGCAUGUGGUCGCACGUUCAUUCGUGCGAGUAAAGCCGCAAGGCGCUUCGGGAGGGGCCUGCGUCCGAUUAGCUCGUUGGUGGGGUAAUGGCUUACCAAGGCGACGAUCGGUAGGUGGUCUGAGAGGACGAUCACCCAGACUGGGACUGAGACACGGCCCAGACUCCUACGGGAGGGAGCAGGCGGGAAUUUUGCUCAAUGGGGGAAACCCUGAAGCAGCAACGCCGCGUGAGGGAUGAAGGCCUUCGGGUUGUAAACCUCUUUUGUCAGGGACGAUGAUGACGGUACCUGGCGAAUAAGCCACGGCUAACUACGUG